rnacentral:rRNA from 1 species
GGCAGCCGCGGUAAUUCCAGCUCCAAUAGCGUAUAUUAAAGUUGUUGCAGUUAAAAAGCUCGUAGUUGAAUUUCGGGAUUAGUACGCUGGUCAUGCCUUUGGUAUGUACUGGUGUUACUGAUUUCUACCUUCUGAAGAACCGUUAUGUCAUUCAUUUGGUGUGGCGGGGAAUCAGGACUGUUACUUUGAAAAAAUUAGAGUGUUUAAAGCAGGCUCGCGCUUGAAUACAUUAGCAUGGAAUAAUGAAAUAGGACGUUGAUCCUAUUUUGUUGGUUUCUAGGAUUGACGUAAUGAUUAAUAGGGAUAGUUGGGGGCAUUAGUAUUCAAUUGUCAGAGGUGAAAUUCUUGGAUUUAUUGAAGACUAACUACUGCGAAAGCAUUUGCCAAGGAUGUUUUCAUUAAUCAAGAACGAAAGUUAGGGGAUCGAAGACGAUCAGAUACCGUCGUAGUCUUAACCAUAAACUAUGCCGACUAGGGAUCGGAUGAUGUUAAUUUUUUAAUGUACUCAUUCGGCGCCUUA